ACGCUGACAGAAUGCUUAACACAUGCAAGUCAACUUGAAUUUGGGUUUUUAACUUAGAUUUGGGUGGCGGACGGGUGAGUAACGCGUAAAGAACUUGCCUCACAGCUAGGGACAACAUUUAGAAAUGAAUGCUAAUACCUGAUAUUAUGAUUUUAAGGCAUCUUAGAAUUAUGAAAGCUAUAAGCACUGUGAGAGAGCUUUGCGUCCCAUUAGCUAGUUGGAGAGGUAACAGCUCACCAAGGCGAUGAUGGGUAGCCGGCCUGAGAGGGUGAACGGUCACAAGGGGACUGAGACACGGCCCUUACUCCUACGGGAGGCAGCAGUGGGGAAUAUUGGACAAUGGACCGAGAGUCUGAUCCAGCAAUUCUGUGUGCACGAUGAAGUUUUUCGGAAUGUAAAGUGCUUUCAGUUGGGAAGAAAAAAAUGACGGUACCAACAGAAGAAGUGACGGCUAAAUACGUGCCAGCAGCCGCGGUAAUACGUAUGUCACGAGCGUUAUCCGGAUUUAUUGGGCGUAAAGCGCGUCUAGGUGGUUAUGUAAGUCUGAUGUGAAAAUGCAGGACUCAACUCUGUAUUGCGUUGGAAACUGUAUAACUAGAGUACUGGAGAGGUAAGCGGAACUACAAGUGUAGAGGUGAAAUUCGUAGAUAUUUGUAGGAAUGCCGAUGGGGAAGCCAGCUUACUGGACAGAUA
rnacentral:rRNA from 1 species